rnacentral:misc_RNA from 1 species
CUGCUUGCUCAUGGCCGCCCCUGGGGGCAACCCCUUGGGCGGUCCGGCAACCACACCCUUGUCUAUGUAUACCUUUUGUUAUUUCCCUCGGCGGGGUGACCCGCCGCUGGGGACACCAAACCCUCUUGUAUGUAAAGCAUAAAACUUCUGAACAAACCUAAAUUAUUA